UGCCGCUGCAGGACGUACGAAUGGACGUCCAACCGGCGGAUAAAACCAGCUAGAUUAUGGGGAAACCGUCGGACUUUUAUUACGGAAUGGUAAUUUCGCGUGCUGCACGGCUUGGUAUAAGUAGAGGACGUCAGUUUUCGAUUCGGUGGAGAGUGUUUUAUAGUCGACCGGGGAACCUUCCCUUCCAGCGGGUUCCUUAGCCACGCCGCUAAUGGGAAAACAAACGAAAGGAAAAUGAAGGGCCAAGCGUUGCGGCGCGACAGAGGUCUCGUUAGCCUGUUGCGACCACUUUUUAUUGAAUUUUCUGCUGACCCUUUAAUGUACUCGCCAUGUGUACGGUUGAGAUGCUGCGCGAUCCCAGCAAACACUGCUUUCCGUUUAUGAGUUCUUGGUGAAUAGGUUUACAAGUUUAUGUCGAAUCGUAAACGCUUACAUACGGCUUUCUUCGUCGCGUUCAGAAUGCAUCGACGAACAACCCUACACUUUUUAUCUACGUACAGGGUGCCCCCAGGUUAUCCGGCAAAUCGAGUCAACCUGUUUUAUAAGCAGAAAUGAGGAAAAUUGUUUCGUGGACGAAGGUCCGUAAACGGUUCAUUAAAAUCUUAUAACAAAAGUCUGAAAUAUGAAGGAAAUAACAAGGGAUCUCACACGGGAUGCUUCAAUCGUUCAAUAUUAAGCGCAAAUCUUUCAAAAUUUAUUUACUGCUUUCGUUGAAAUUUAUAAUUGAAUAGAAAGAGUGAGUUCGAUUGGACAGGUUGGAAUUUUAAUAUGGAAACGUACUUUUAAUGAACAGGUGAAUACGUGUAUUUAAUUUGUUAUUAUUGUCGUUAUUAAUAGGAAACGUUUUAUCGCGAAAUUUAUACAUAGAUAAUCACUUUUCGUGUGCUUUGCUGUAACAUCCCUUAAAAACAUUAAGGAACGAUUACAGGAGUGCUACAAAGUUAAACAAAAAACGCAAAGUAUGGGUGGUAGAGAAUCAUAAAUAAUUAGGAAGUUUAAAAGUAUCAAAAAUAUUACUGAUAUGUAAAUAGGAAAGUACGGAUCUGAGGUAUAAUUCUUGCAGGAGUACAAAUUAUUCAACAUUACUACCUGCAUUCUGCCGACAAUAAAACUAGACCACCAGGAGACUUUCUGUGGAAACUUGCAGGUAUUCCAAGACUGGGUGGUUUGUAUAAUAAAACACUCUAGAAUGAUUGACAAAGCCAUAAGGUUGUAAAUAGGGAAGGCUGUAAAACAGUUCAAUUCGCUGAACCUCGUUCUUUGCAAGUUCAUUAUAUUUCAGUUUGGUAUGGCGAAUGGAAACGUUAAAUGAAUAAAUACAAGAAAUGAGCA